rnacentral:rRNA from 1 species
GACGCUGGCGGUAUGCUUAACACAUGCAAGUCGAACGGCAGCACGUUGUGUAGCAAUACACAAGGGUGGCGAGUGGCGGACGGGUGAGAAACGCGUAGGAAUCUGCCUUAGAGAGGGGGACAACCCGAGGAAACUCGGGCUAAUACCGCAUAAACUCGGAAGAGAAAAGGCUGGGCAGCAAUGCCUGGCGCUUUAAGAGGAGCCUGCGUCCGAUUAGCUAGUUGGUAGGGUAAAAGCCUACCAAGGCGAUGAUCGGUAGCUGGUCUGAGAGGAUGAUCAGCCACACUGGGACUGAGACACGGCCCAGACUCCUACGGGAGGCAGCAGUGGGGAAUAUUGGACAAUGGGGGCAACCCUGAUCCAGCAAUACCGCGUGUGUGAAGAAGGCCUUAGGGUUGUAAAGCACUUUAGGCUGAGAGGAAGGUGCGCUGUUUAAGAGAUGACGUACUUGACUGUAUCAGCAGAAUAAGCACCGGCUAACUCUGUGCCAGCAGCCGCGGUAAUACAGAGGGUGCAAGCGUUAAUCGGA